UACGAAGGGGGCUAGCGUUGCUCGGAAUCACUGGGCGUAAAGGGUGCGUAGGCGGGUCUUUAAGUCAGGGGGGAAGUCCUGGAGCUCAACUCCAGAACUGCCUUUGAUACUGAAGAUCUUGAGUUCGGGAGAGGUGAGUGGAACUGCGAGUGUAGAGGUGAAAUUCGUAGAUAUUCGGAAGAACACCAGUGGCGAAGGCGGCUCACUGGCCCGGUACUGACGCUCAGGUGCGAAAGCGUGGGGAGCAAACAGG
rnacentral:rRNA from 1 species